GGGCCUGUGGUGGAACUGGCAUACACAAUCGGUUUAAGCCCGAUUAUUUUGAAGGUUCGAAUCCUUCCAGGCGCA
rnacentral:tRNA from 1 species